ensembl:lncRNA
CACAGUUUACUGUGGCUCACGCAAAAGGAAUAAAUUUGGAUGUCAUGAAUGCUGUUGGAGUGCUUUCAUGUAUACUAGAGCCUUUGUUAAUUCUCUUAUGGGGAAGAUUAGCUUCAUCAAAUAAUGAAAUCUAAACAUAAAGUAAUCAGUUCUUGGCUACUACAGUACCACAUUUUCUCGACGUUAGGAUAAGUAGAGUUGAUAUUUACUCUGGAGUACCUUUCUCUUGCUGUUUUACUUUUAUAUCCCACUCUUCAAAAAAUACGUUAUUCCUUUUCAUCGGAUGCUCAAUUGAUUUGCCAGUUUCUCUAUCUCCCAUUCUUUCUGUGUUGCUACUUGGAUUCUAUAUAUUGGCUUAUCUUUCUCCUCUGUGAAUUGUUCUCCUUUGCCAUGCCCCUCUGCCUUGCUGCCUUGCCUUUCAGCCAGC